rnacentral:rRNA from 1 species
AAUCUCUAGAAGUGUUUUCCGCGUUGGACCGCACACAAGUCUGUUGGAAUACAGCGGCAUAGUGGUGAAACCCCCGUAUAUGGUGCGGACGCCCAGCGCUUUGUGAUACACUUUCAAUGAGUCGAGUUGUUUGGGAAUGCAGCUCAAAUUGGGUGGUAAAUUCCAUCUAAAGCUAAAUAUUGGCGAGAGACCGAUAGCGAACAAGUACCGUGAGGGAAAGAUGAAAAGCACUUUGGAAAGAGAGUUAACAGUACGUGAAAUUGUUGGAAGGGAAACGCUUGAAGUCAGACUUGCUUGCCGGAGCUUGCUUCGGUUUGCAGGCCAGCAUCAGUUUUCCGGGGUGGAUAAUAACGGUUUGAAGGUAGCAGUCUCGGCUGUGUUAUAGCUUUCCGUUGGAUACAUCCUGGGGGACUGAGGAACGCAGCGUGCUUUUUGCGAAAGACUCGUCUUUUUCACGCUUAGGAUGCUGGUGGAAUGGCUUUAAACGACCCGUCUUGAAACACGGAC